GACGAACGCUGGCGGCGUGCCUAAUACAUGCAAGUCGAACGCAGUGGGGACGGGUGAGGAACACGUGGGUAACCUCCCAUCAGAGGGGAUAAAACUAGGAAACAGGUGCUAAACCGAUACUGAUGGCUGAACCCGCGGUGCAUUAGCUAGUUGGUGAGGUAACGGAUCACAAAGGCCACGAUGCAUAGCCGACCUGAGAGGGUGAUCGGCCACCCUGGGACUGAGACACGGCCCAGCCUCCUACGGGCGGCAGCAGUAGGGAAUUGUCGGCAAUGGACGAAAGUCUGACCGAGCAACGCCGCGUGAGUGAAGAAGGUUUUCGGAUCGUAAAACUCUGUUGUUAGAGAAGCGGUAUCUAACCAGAAAGCCACGGCUAACUACGUGCCAGCAGCCGCGGUAUAC
rnacentral:rRNA from 1 species